UACCAGCACCCCGAGUGGUCGGGACGAUUAUUGGGCCUAAAGCAUCCGUAGCCGGUCCUGCAAGUCUUCCGUUAAAUCCAGCUGCUCAACAGAUGGCUGCGGGGAUACUACAGGGCUAGGAGGCGGGAGAGGCAAGCGGUACUUUAUGGGUAGGGGUAAAAUCCGUUGAUCCAUAGAAGACCACCAGUGGCGAAGGCGGCUUGCCAGAACGCGCUCGACGGUGAGGGAUGAAAGCUGGGGGAGCAAACCGG
rnacentral:rRNA from 1 species